rnacentral:rRNA from 1 species
UACGUAGGGUGCGAGCGUUAAUCGGAAUUACUGGGCGUAAAGCGUGCGCAGGCGGUUUUGUAAGCCAGAUGUGAAAUCCCCGGGCUUAACCUGGGAAUGGCAUUUGGGACUGCAAGGCUGGAGUGCGGCAGAGGAGACUGGAAUUCCUGGUGUAGCAGUGAAAUGCGUAGGUAUCAGGAGGAACACCGAUGGCGAAGGCAGCUCUCUGGGACGGUACUGACGCUGAGACGCGAAAGCGUGGGGAGCGAACAGG